UAGCUCAGCGGUAGAGUGCUUGCCUUGUAUGCAUGAGGCCUUGGGUUCGAUUCCUCA
rnacentral:tRNA from 1 species